AUCACCUGGGAUCUUGUUAAAAAUGCAGACUCUGAAUCAGUAGAUCUGGGGAGGGGCCUGAGAUUCUGCAUUUCUAACAAGCUGCCAGGUGUCACUGA
rnacentral:pre_miRNA from 1 species